GGAGAGGUGCAGGAGUGGUUUAACUGUCACGCCUGGAAAGCGUGUGUACCCCCAAAAGGGUACCGUGAGUUCGAAUCUCACCCUCUCCGCCA
rnacentral:tRNA from 1 species